rnacentral:rRNA from 1 species
GAUUAUGGCUCAGAACGAACGCUGGCGGCGCGUCUUAAGCAUGCAAGUCGGACGACAAGGGUUGUGCUUGCACAACUCCUAGAGUGGCGGACUGGUGAGUAACGCGUGGGUGACCUGCCCUCGAGAUGGGGAUAGCCAUUAGAAAUAGUGGAUAGUACCGAAUACGCUCAUGACCCUGUGGGGAUAUGAGGAAAACAGGCUACGGCCUGGCUCGAGGAUGGGCCCGCGUCCCAUUAGCUAGUUGGUGAGGUAACGGCCCACCAAGGCGACGAUGGGUAUCCGGCCUGAGAGGGUGUACGGACACAUUGGGACUGAGAUACGGCCCAAACUCCUACGGGAGGCAGCAGCUAAGAAUAUUCCGCAAUGGGCGAAAGCCUGACGGAGCCGACGCCGCGUGAACGAAGAAGGCCGUGAGGUUGUAAAGUUCUUUUCGGGAGGGGGAACAACCGUGGCAGGGAAUGGCCGCGGGAUGACGUGAAUCCCGGAAUAAGCCCCGGCUAACUACGUGCCAGCCGCCGC